ACGAGUACUUGUACUUGGUGGCGACCGGCGCACGGGUGCGUAACGCGUAUGCAACCUACCUUAUACUGAGGGAUAGCCCAGAGAAAUUUGGAUUUAAUACCUCAUAGUAUCAUUUUGAAGGGCAUCUGAGAAUGAUUAAAGAUUUAUCGGUAUAAGAUGGGCAUGCGUAAGAUUAGUUAGUUGGUGAGGGUAACGGCUCACCAAGACUUCGAUCUUUAGGGGUUCUGAGAGGGAUGGAUCCCCCCACACUGGUACUGAGAUACGGACCAGACUUC
rnacentral:rRNA from 1 species